rnacentral:rRNA from 1 species
AACGAACGCUGGCGGCAUGCCUAACACAUGCAAGUCGAACGAGACCUUCGGGUCUAGUGGCGCACGGGUGCGUAACGCGUGGGAAUCUGCCCUUCGGUUGGGAAUAACUGAGAGAAAUUUCAGCUAAUACCUUAUAAUGUCUUCGGACCAAAGAUUUAUCGCCGAGGGAUGAGCCCGCGUAGGAUUAGGUAGUUGGUGGGGUAAUGGCCUACCAAGCCGACGAUCCUUAGCUGGUCUGAGAGGAUGAUCAGCCACACUGGGACUGAGACACGGCCCAGACUCCUACGGGAGGCAGCAGUGGGGAAUAUUGGACAAUGGGCGAAAGCCUGAUCCAGCAAUGCCGCGUGAGUGAUGAAGGCCUUAGGGUUGUAAAGCUCUUUUACCCGGGAUGAUAAUGACAGUACCGGGAGAAGAAGCUCCGGCUAACUCCGUG